CUUCCGGAAAACGAUCGGGCCCACUACGAACAGGGACUGAGCACGAUUGCAAAAUUGAAUGGCCAUGGACAGACUGUGAAAAAUUAUCAAUGUUUAGGAUUUGGUUGCUCCUCGGCGUUUUUAGAUCAUCCCCCUCCCCAAAAAUGCAUGAGUGCAAAGUAUAACCCUUGCACCGAUUGCGUGACAACCGCAUAUUAUUACAACCCCGACGACAUGACUUGCUUACAGUACAACACGACAACUGAAUACUGGUUUCCUCCUUUAGGUUCGAACUGCUUUGGCAACAAAGAAACUUGUCAAAGGGAAUGCCAAGGAUUUAGCGCCAAGAACAAAAACGACA